AACCUCUUACCAACGAAAUUAUCUUGCCCAUAAGCUCCUAAUCAAAGCCCAGCCAUCACAAACAACAAAUCAGAAGCAUCAAAGCCAAAAAAAUCAAAAAUCGAAGCUAGAAAAGGUAUGAAAUUCCCUAAUUUUGAAAUCCUUCGAUUCGAUGUUAAUUGAUGCAAUUGAUUGUUUAAAGUAGUGUAAUAGGGAGUCUAUUAAUGUUCUGGGUUGUAAAAUCAUGAACCCAUAACAUCAAAGUGCACGAAUUUGAAGAUUUGAGCAAGUUGGAAAAACCGAAUUCUGUGAUUUUUGGGCAAAUGUCAAGACUUAUAUCUCUGUGAUUAUUUACUGUUUUUGUUGUUUAAAAGUUGUUAGGUGUAGCUUGUUAUGUGGUCUUUAAACUCCAAAAGGAAUCAGGUCUAUAUCUAUUGUAGAUCGGGAUUUAUAAGCGGUCAAAGUGGGUUGACCGGCAUUGACCGGCUGUUUUUCAAACCCAGAAAAUAUUCUAAGUGUCCAGAAAUUUUUUUUUGGCAAAUGUCAGGCCUUAUAUCUCGGUCAUCUUUAAUGUGUUUUGUGUUCUAAAGGUUGAUAUGUGUAGCUUGUUAUGUGGUAUUUAACCUCCAAAAAGAAUCAGGUCCAUAUAUAUUACGGAUUAAGAGUUAUUUAAGGUCAAAGUGGGUUGACCGGCAUUGACCAGAAAAUUCUGGGCAGCCCAGAAUUUUCUAAGUGUUAAUUUUUCUGACAAGGUUUGACCAUACUUUAGAUGCUUGAUUUCUUGUUUUUAUGAUGAUGUUAAGUGUUAGAGUUGUAGUCCUACAUGUUGUCUACACACUGGAAUUGAUAGAUCACAUAAACGUUACACGAUCAUCAAGUUAUAGAGGUCCAAAGUAGGCACCUCGAACUGUUCUUCGUGAAGAACAGCUUUGGUAGCUACUUUGAUGGCUGAUUUAUCCCAGAUCUGAUGUUUGUUUAGAGGUUAUGAUUGUUGGAUCUUGUAGUCUUGUAUUUCCUCUACAAGACCCAAUUUAUAGAUUGUCCAAAUUCGUUAAGAUGAGAGAGUUAUUCACGGUCAAAGUAGGCCACUCGGUUCUGCCUUAUGAAGAUCUGGGUAGGCUCAAGAACACCUAUAGCGACACUUCUGUCACUAUAGGGGCCUUUAGCGACAGUUUUAAUUAUUUUAAUUUCUGAUUUUCCGAAAAAUGAUUUAAAAAUUAGAAAAAUUAGAUUUUAAUUAUUAAAAAUACCAAAUAAAUUAUGAAAAAUUAUUUUAAAGUCUGAAAAAUAGUUUUUAAUUAUUUUGAGUAUAUUUCAUAAAUAUUUAAUAUUUUUGGAAUAUAAAAGGUAUUUAUUUAUUUAAUUAUAAUAUUAAAUAAAUGAUUUAAAAAUAGUUUUAAUUCAUGAAAAAUCAUGAAAAAUUAUAUUAUGGUAUAAGAAAAUAUUUUAAGUUAUUUCCCAUGACUUUUAAUAUUUUGUGAUGAAUUUCAUUAAUUAAUUAUAUAUUAAUGAUAUUAAAGUUAUUUAAUGAUUAUAUUAAAUAAUUUAGUUUAAAAAUGAUUUUAAUAUUAUAAAAAUCAUUUUAAAUGAAAUUAAGGUAUUUAAAAAUAUUUUAAGUUAUAAAAUAUAACUUUUAAUAUUUAAAGGAUAAUUUCAUUAAUAAUUUAAUAUUAAUGAUAUUAAGAUAAUAUUAAUGAUAUUUAGUUUAUUUAAUAAUUAUUAUUAAAUAAAUAGUUUAAAAAUGGUUUUAUUUAUUUAAAAAUCAUUUAAAGAGGAUAUUAAGGAUUUAAAAAUAUUUUAAGUUAUAAUUAAUGACUUUUAAUAUUUGGAUGAAUAGUACAUUAAUAUUUAUAUAUUAAUGGUGAUUAUUUAAAAAUGAUUUUAAUUGUUUUAAAAAUCAUUUAAGGGUAAUAUAAAUGUUUUAAAAAUAGUUUGAGUUAUUAUAAAUAACUUUUAUAUUUUGGCAAUGGUUUCAUUAAUAGUUUAAUAUAAAUUAAUUAUUAAUGAUAAUGGAAUUGUUUAAUGUUUAAAUCAUUUAAUUAUGAUUCCGAUGUUUGAAAGUUAUAGCCGGCCAAACUAGCUGACUUGAGAACCGAUUAUGAAGUUAUGAAGUUUUGAGGAACACCUAUAGUAACAGUUAUAUCACUAUAGGCCCGGUAGUGACAGAUUUGAAUUAUUUUAAAUUUUUCAAUUUCUGGAAAAUUCGAAAAUGAUUAAAAAUAAAAUGUUUGAUAUUUACAGAUGUUGAGGUAUAGGAUAAGAGUCUUAGACUCAGUAUUUACCCGAUAAAGCUGUCGGUACGCCGACAAAUGUCAGACCCUAUAAUAGAAAGAAAAGACUUCUGUAAGAGCAUGGAUGAGAUAUUUGAAAAAUGUAUAAAAAUAUUUCAAGUAUAGAAUAUGAACUAAAAGUAUGAUCACUGCGAUUAUGUGAUGACGUGAUUAGACUAUGUGCUGACUGUAAUAGACAGUACUAUGUGUUAUGAUAUAUUGUUCUAAUCGAACGAAUGAUCUGAUUAUUGAUAGGUUGUGAUAAAGAGAUAAAACCUAAGUUGAGAUUUGUAAUCAGCGAAUCAGGCAAGUAUCUUACCUUUGCAUUUCCUUUAUGCAAUGGACAUGAGUAAGAAGUUUCAGAAUUAUUCUAUUCCUGUACAGAUUAUGUACGCUUUGAUUAUCAACAUGUUAGCUCAGAUAUAUAUUCUGUUAAGUUGAUUUCUAAAUGGUUAUACAAGUGUCCCCACUUGGAUAAUCAUGGCAUUUAUUCACAUGUUGAUAUACCUUUGUCAAUUACCCGUAUACAUAUAUGUUGAAUUACAUAUUAUUGUUGAGCAAGAUUAAAAACCUUCGGGUUUGGAACCAGGCAUGUAUGAACAUCCCGAUAAUGGGAAAAUUUUUAUGCGCUUCGGCGGACAAAGGAUGAGCGAUGAAUGUCGUUCUAGUUAUGUAGUAUUGAUCAAUACAGGGGGUACAACGGGGCUGAUCACCCUCCGUGCCCGUAAGUUAUGACGGUUUACGGAUGAAUUUCUGUUAAACCUUUUCGAAAAUGAAAAACAAUGUUCAUAGUAUGUUUCUUAAACCCUAUACAUGGGUGGAGCCUCAUUUCAAGAAUUUGAAAGAGAGUUGUUAUGUGAAUCUUUUAUCAGUACAGAUUACUUCACAACUUUUGCUUCGUUGUAGAAGUGUUAUGGAAAGAGAAUACUUAUAUUCUUUCAGCUUAUAUAUAUAAUUGCUAUUACUUGCUGGGCACUCAAAUGCUCAUCCUUGCUUAAACUAAAUGUUUUCAGUUACCUACGAUCGACCUGAAGGCUCAGGCACGAACAAGGGAAAAGAAAAGCUGUUCGAAUGAGAAUUAGUAUGAUUUAAUGGUUAUAGUUAGUAAGACAAUGGAAUCUAUUGUCAGGUAUUGUAAGGAAUGUAUUUUGAAGGUCACGUACCUGGG
rnacentral:lncRNA from 1 species